CUGGUAUCCGGCGAUGGGGCUCGCCGCCAACCGCACCCCUGGGGUGCUGAUGGCCUCUACCCGCUG
rnacentral:ncRNA from 2 species